rnacentral:rRNA from 1 species
UACCUACGGGUGGCUGCAGUGAGGAAUAUUGGUCAAUGGACGCAAGUCUGAACCAGCCAAGUAGCGUGCAGGAUGACGGCCCUCCGGGUUGUAAACUGCUUUUAGUUGGGAAUAAAAGGGGGCUCGUGAGCCCCGUAUUGUAUGUACCAUCAGAAAAAGGACCGGCUAAUUCCGUGCCAGCAGCCGCGGUAAUACGGAAGGUCCGGGCGUUAUCCGGAUUUAUUGGGUUUAAAGGGAGCGUAGGCCGGCUUUUAAGUCAGCUGUGAAAGUCCGCGGCUCAACCGUGGAAUUGCAGUUGAAACUGGAGGCCUUGAGUGCACACAGGGAUGCCGGAAUUCAUGGUGUAGCGGUGAAAUGCUUAGAUAUCAUGAAGAACUCCGAUCGCGAAGGCAAGUGUCCGGGGUGCAACUGACGCUGAGGCUCGAAAGUGCGGGUAUCAAACAGGAUUAGAUACCCUUGUAGUC